UACAAUGAUAUCCAGGUUUAAUCGUCUUCAUCGAUCUGUCUUCGUCAUCUACGGUUCUUCGCCAGACAGAUCCAUCACCAUUAAUAACUAUCGCCAUUAAUGGGGUUUCUUGAGGUUGUGUGAGAAAAAACUGCCUGAGGAAUCACUAUGUCGAUCUUCAUUCGCGUCCGUUGACUAAUAACAACCACUAUCAAUCAUUCAAUGCUUCUGAUUCAAUUCCAAUAGGUGUUUAUUCACCUAUAUAAAGGCGACCGCUGUUUUUCCACCGUCGAGGCACCACUGCUCAGAUUUUUGGAAGCUCGGAGAGUUAAAUGCGGUGGAGAGCUGAUGGUAAAGACAUGUUUCCCAUCGAUGCUAAGGUAAUUUUGUUCAUAAAACUCAUUAUCGUCUUUGUUUUAAUCUAAAGCCGGUAAAUUAACUCACAAUUGUCAAAAUCUUAACUGAACAUCUUAGGGAUUCUUUUUUGAAUCCGUUUUGUUACUUAUGCAUCCUUUUUUACAUGUUAAUUUCACAUGGUAUAACAGCCCCGUAUACAGAUAAUGAGAACAGUAACAUGUCGAAAAGUCUCUUUCUUCGCAUGUUAGCAGAUUUGGAUUACACUGAUUGAUUUUUUUUUUCAGCGACGGUCACACAGAAAUUCGUUUUUCCUAACAGGUCCGUGUACAGCUGCCUUUAUUUUGUUUUUGUAGAGUUUAAUCAAUCUUUCUUACAAGUCCGCAUUUAUCUUACAAGUAUUUACUCAUUAGACUGGUGUUAGAGUUUUGUUCAAUAUAAGCAUAAACGGCUUGCUUAUAAGAUGAGAAAACUUUCUCAUAUAUUUCAUUCUGUAGACACCUGAUAAGAUCCCAUAUUUAAUAGACACGUGUGAGACUUCACAAGGUUGAGUUACUUAAUGUUGGUGAGAUAUUUGCCUUUUCAAACAGAAAAUAGACCAGGUACUAUCAAACUGCAAAAGUUCACAUAGCUCCAACUUCAUUGAUGUGCCUCAUAUGCGGCACUCGCCUCUCUCCGUCUAUUUCCUGUUUAAAUAUUUUCCUUAAUAAUCACAGGUUCUGUCUGGAGAUAUCCGUCCAUGACAAUGAGGAGAAGUCAACUUUUGUUCGCCUUGGUGAUGCUGGUACUGAGCUUACGGAAGAUAAGCACCUGACCUAAUGGAUAACUACUCGGAGGUACCUUAUUUUAGUCUCACUCAUCAACUCUCUUGCAAAUGAAUCUCACGAUCAGCUUGAUGCAUACACCAUAAAAAUGGAGAUAUGGAUUAUCAACAAGAAGUCCCAUCUCCAAAAAUUAGAGACAGAUCCAAAGUUGUUUGCCCUGCAGUCAUCCCAGCUCUCACACCAACAGUGGACACUCCAACAAACGUAGCCAACGGCAGUGAUGAAAAGCCCGUGACAAGUAAAAUGAUCAACUCUUUUGUCGAUACAAACAGCUUGGCAGGGUCUUCUGGUGAGGCAGGUGCAACAAGCAAGGACAGUGACGAUAACAUGGAAGCCAAGCUUUGUAGGCAUACCACCUAAAAUCCCCCCUUGAUUUUACUUGGCCUUUGUCUUAGAAAGACUUUGUAUAAUUAAAUUUUUAAAAAUUAAUCCAUAUGUCGACUUA